rnacentral:rRNA from 1 species
GACGAACGCUGGCGGCGUGCUUAACACAUGCAAGUCGAACGAUGAAGCCGGAGCUUGCUCUGGUGAAUUAGUGGCGAACGGGUGAGUAACACGUGAGUAACCUGCCCUUGACUCUGGGAUAACUGCGGGAAACUGUAGCUAAUACCGGAUACGACCCUCGGAGACAUCUCCUGGGGGUGGAAAGAAUUUCGGUCAAGGAUGGACUCGCGGCCUAUCAGCUAGUUGGUGAGGUAAAGGCUCACCACGGCGACGACGGGUAGCCGGCCUGAGAGGGUGAGCGGCCACACUGGGACUGAGACACGGCCCAGACUCCUACGGGAGGCAGCAGUGGGGAAUAUUGCACGAUGGGCGCAAGCCUGAUGCAGCGACGCCGCGUGAGGGAUGACGGCCUUCGGGUUGUAAACCUCUUUCAGCAUCGACGAAGCGAAAGUGACGGUAGGUGCAGAAGAAGGACCGGCCAACUACGUGCCAGCCGCCGCAGUAA